rnacentral:lncRNA from 1 species
AGAAAUUAUAUUACACCAAUGAAAAACCUAAUGGAAUUGUAUUACACCAACAUACGCGACGCAGAAAACUAAAAAAAAUUUAACACCAAGUCUUUUACAUUAAGAAGAGUAGGAGAUGAGGAUUCACAGAUUGAAGAUUCACAAACGAAAAAAAACGUCGUGCAAAAAUAUAUUCGAGCUACAUAUCGACGUGGAUGAAGAUGUGUUUCCGACGAGAACAAAAGGAAAAUAGGUUUUCCCUAGCAAAUUGAAAAAAAUGAAGAAGAUGAGUACGAAAAAAAAUGAAGAAAAAGAUGAGCGGAGGUGAGAUUACAAAUUACAGAUAAGAUACAAAGUAGGUGUAGCAAAGUCAUAUGUAGGUGUAGAGGAAUAUUUAUUUCAUGGAAAUAUGUGUAAAUAAAACAAUAAAAAACGUUUAAAGGAAUGACGGUUGUGAUAAAGAGGUACUACAUCCAACGGCUCAACAAAUGUGAACGUUUUUUAGCUUACCAUAGGUUGAGCUUACCUGAAAAAAAGUUGUAUAAUUAUAAUUGUAAAAUAAUAAUAAUUUAUUAUAUAUUAAUAUUAUUAUAUUAUAUUAUUUAUUAUAUUAUAUUAUUUAUUAAAAUUAUUAUUAUUAUUAUAUUAUAGAAAAUGUUAAAAGAGGGUCUUUUUUAGAUUUGGAGAGGUCGAGCUUUAUUGUUUUCAUUUUUGAUGGUGUUUAUCGGAUAUUAUAAAAGCUAUAACACCCAAUGACACAUCAAAACUUAGCCCGUUAGGUGGCAAGACACCAACGACACAUGAUCAGUGGUGCAGCACGCAUGCAGCGAAGCUACUUCACUAUAGAUUGGAAACACCAAGUUACGACCAGACAGGAUAGACAACCGGAAGAAGAACCUUUAUGUAUUAUGUAAUUUCACCAAUCCAUUUAAACGUGUAUUUACCAUUGAUUUCAUGAUUAACUCUUGUAAUCCGACCAAAACUGAUAGUACUCCAUCGGAGAGCACCAUUUUUUUUUUGAACUACUGAAAUAUAUACAUUUUGACCAGAAUAAAGAUCAAAAUAUUGAAAAAAGUGAGAAAGGGAUACACUAGUCUGAAAAUUAGAAAUUCAAUUUAAUAUAUUUGGGUUAUUCCAGCAGUUCACCGAUUGUGAAGGACUGGAAACACAAAUGGGGGAAUAACAAUUGAAAACUUCUUAACAUAGCUUUAAUUUCAGUAUAUAAUACUAAGGAUUAGCUAUGAAAGUAAUUAAUAGAUGUAGAUUGGUCAUAUGUAAAAAACAAUAUAGGAUUAGCCUUUAAUAUUCUCUUGUUCUGUUUGGCUAAGAAUUCAUGACAAAUUUAAGGAAUCAAAUGAGGUUCAUCAUACAGAUUAUGCAAAAGAUAGGGAUUACUUAAACGUAUGCGAAUGAAACAUUAUAAAAUUCUGCUUGAAAACACGAAUAAUUGUAAAAUGUGUUUAGCUCUUGAGGAUACCCAGAGUAUGUCUUCAGCUCAUGAUCAAUCAUAUAUAAGUUCAUGAUCAAUCAUAUAUAAGCUCAUGAUCACAUACGACGUUCAUGGUACAAAUCCAUGCAUUCAAAUACUAAUUGAUAGGGGUAUAUCAUGAAUCGGAUGCUAUCAAUAUGGAAGAAAUCACUUUCACUAUUAAAACUUUUCAUUUUUACCCCAAUCUUUAUUUUUAUAGAAUGACAUUCCAAAAUGCAAAGGAAAAACGACCAGUAAAGAAAUCAUGGUAAAACUUUUCAAUUAUUAUCAGAAAAUAGAAUAAGGAUCCAAAUUCCUAUCAAAUGUGCCAAUAAAAAUUACCAAUGGGGACAUCAAUCUUUUACAAUUCUUCUUGAUUUCAUGCUGUGAACCAAAUGUUGUUUUUUAGAUAAUUUUUUUCUUUCAUAUUGAUAGCAUCCGAUUUGAAAUAAAAAACAACUUCAAUGCAACAAAACAUUGUACAAUACAUACCUAGAAUAGAAGAGAAAAGCAUUGGAAGAUGAAGCCACCGGAAGUUUAAAAAAACCCAAACAAAAAAGAGAAAACAGAAAUGAAUUACCUGUUAAGAUGAAGCCACCGGAAGUCGACGAAAAGAUGAAGCCACCGGAGGUCGCGGUCGCCGAUGCUGGAAGGGAUUAGGAAGGAGAAAUCGGAAAAACGGGAUUGGGUUGGGAGAAAUCAAAAAUCGGGAGGGAAGGAGUUUAGGGAUUUAAUUUUUUUUGGGUUUAAAUGUUUAAUUUAGGGGUUUGGGAUAUUUUAUUUGGGUUUUAAAAACUUUUUU